UAGGUCUUUGUACUUGAACUGGAACUGUAUCACUGACUCUCCGGGGGGGGUCCAGCUGGCUGACUACAGAUCUGAGGACUUGUCAGCCUCCAAGGCAUAAAUAAUGCUAGGGAUAAGGACGUCCACAGAUGUCUUCUGUUCGGCCACACCACAACGGGGCCUCCUGCCUCUGCCACCUUGGAUCUCAGGCGCCAGUUACUCACCGUAGGCUCUCUGAGUGGAAGGAAUGAAUUCUAUGUACACUUCACCAGCAGAACUGGAAUGCCUUCAGUCUCUCUGGUUCUCAGGUGUACGUCCUCUGGGGCUCGAGCAGAUAGCACCGAAGACCUGCUUCAAAUCGCCUUUCAUGUUUUCCUGUUGGAAAGAUAAUCAUUGGAGAAUAAUCUGGUCACCGUCGCAAAAAUGGAAACGAAUCAAACACUGAGAGUUGCCACAGUGGCCGGGGUUCCGCAGCCUGGGGCAGAGGUUCUCAGGACACUGUGCCUCACUAGCCAGAAAUCAGGACAGAUUAAACCUAUCCUCUCCGUCUCAGCUGCUCUUUAAAUCAAUGCAAUUCCUCCACAUUAACAUGAAUUGAAACAUGCAUUGCCUUUCAACUUAAUUGAGUACUUACUUUGUGUGAAUCACUGCACAAAAUAGGGGAGAGAAAAUGAGGGAGGCAAAUAAGGCAUGCAGCCUGCUGUCAAUGAGUUUACAGUUAAUUUCAGGGCACAGUUUUUUCUUCUCCUCUUAAUUAGGUGUAACUCUAAGACAAAUAAAUGGGAGGAAAAGUGUAUUCUGCAAGUAUGUUAGAUCCCUUUAAUAAAAAACAAAACAAAAACAUACAAAGUCCCAAUGUAGGCAACUCAGGACAUUUUUUUAAUUCCCUUUUUUGUUGGAUUUCUCAUAGGAUCCAGUUUAUUCUAUAAUAUUCAUUAGACUUUGGCAAUAUUAAAACAUUAUAGAUAAUUUGAACUAAGUUCUAUUUUUCCCCGUAGGUAUGGAUUGUCUGUUGGAAAGAUAUAUUGUUUCUACAUUUCUUGGGGAGCGGGAAACUGAAUUAUACCUGUUGUCUCUCCAGCCCUCUCCCUGCCAUGCCCUGGGCAUACUGAGUGAGUUAUUAGCACAGAGAAGAGGAAGGUUUGGUCAAACUUGGGCGAUGGUUCUCACGGAUCCACAACAGGACAAGAAAGGAGUAAAACACACCUGGGUAGUGGUUGUGUAUGAAAAUUUGACCAAGUAAUUAUUUCAGUAUUCAUUGUUGUGUGUUCCAUAGGUUGAAGGACUAUACACGUUUUCCAGAAAUUUAUUUCAGGCCUGAGAAUAUGUCAUCAUUUUUCCAGUGUUAAGAGACUAACAUGACUCUAUGCACUAGACAUUUUAUGCAGUGUCUGUGAUGUAUUUUCAUAACUAUGAGCCAACACUAGACAUGCCUUUGUCUCGAGUACUAUCUACCCGAAUUGAAAAUGUGCCAAUUUUUUUUUUUUUUUACCAUCAACAGUCUUCUUAAUUAAGCUGCCAAUACUGUA